ensembl:snRNA U6 U6 spliceosomal RNA
GUGCUUGCUUCAGCAGCAGCACAUACACCAAAAUUGGAGUGAUCCAGAGAGGAUCCGCACGGCCCCUGCGCAAGGACGACAUGCAAAUUCCUGAAGCACGUCUAUAUUUU